CUAUCGUUGUUAUGAAGUUGGUGGCUGUGGUCUUUGUCAUUAUCUUUGCUGCUUUCGUGGUGAAGAUGGAAUUCAGAAGCAAUAGUGUCAGUGUUAUUUCUACUAAUUAAACCAAAACCGUUACCAUUAUUACCAUUGAGGAGGUUGGUGGUAGCGACGGUGUUAACAGCGGCAGCGGCGGUGGCUUGAUCUUUCUUGCACUUAUUAUUGUGCAUCCAUACCUUAAGAACCCCUUUUUCAACUCCGAUUUUGCUGCAGAAGUCGUUAAUCAGCUCUUCAUCUCGCUUCUGUAUUUUCCACUCAACUUUCUCUGCGAAUUCCAGCAUUCUCUCCUUCUGAUCUUGCGUGAAUUUAGUUCUGAAUCGCUUUCUUCCACUCCCAUUAGGGUUUGUUAAAUUAGCAGAUGACAUCGGGUUUGAAGAUGGAGAAAUUAGCUGAUUAUUCUCAGCAGGUGGGCUAGACAAGCCAGCACUAAGUGCAAGGAGCAUGUGGGGUGCAGAGGCGGGGUAAUAAGCAGAGGAGAUCGGAGGUGGAGAUGGGGAAUUAGGACUACUGUGGCCUCCACUUGCACCAUGAUGCGGCGGCGGUGGUGGAGGAGGGUGGUGGCGAUGGUGAGGUUGGUACUCUAACGCCGGAAUAGUGUUCUGAUUCGGGAGUACUGGCUCUUCCGGCUCGCGGCGGUGAAAAUUACGGUGACAGCCACAAGCAGCGCAUUUUAGCGAAGUAGGGUCCACCGGAUUAGCAGUGGGAGAGGGCAUAA
rnacentral:lncRNA from 1 species